CCUUACCCUCAUACGCUGGGGGUCACCACGACCCUCACGCACUCUGGGACAUCACGUCCACAGAGCUUGGCUACGAGGUUCGGUACGGGAGCGGGGGCAGCAGCAGCAUGUAUAACGCUGCAGCUGCAGGCCCUACAGCUGCGUCGCUCAUGUGGGACGCAGCGUCUACAUCUGCAGCGCUGGCGCACCACUACCCUGCUGCCCACGACGCCUUCGCCGCUGCUGCUGCUGCCCUGCCACUGCACGACCUCUGGCAGGCACAUAACCCCUUCAGGGGGCCGUGUGUCGUGGCACACAGGUACAGCAGCAACAGCGGAGGCUCAGGCCUG